AAACCGACGGUAAAAAGAUUGCGAGUGUGAGAAAACGACGCAAAUCCUCCUAUUCUUCACUUACCCCCCAAAUCGACGAAAGAGACUUUCAUUUCGAAGCUCUCGCGUGCGCUUUGUACUGAAAUUAGCUCUGAAGGUCUGGAGCAAUUUCGAACCGGCGUAGGUCUCCCACUGCUCUCAGACCCUCUGAAGGUCUCGAACAGGGAUGCAGUUUCGCUCAUCAGCGUAGGUCUCCUCUCCCACCUCCAGCAAGGUGAUCUCAAGCUUAGAGUUCGGGCAUUGGAAUCUGAGAGGGCAUUCCAACAUGUAGCAGCUGUUCAGAAGACUAUAGGGAGUGUGAGUUUAGCUUUGCUCAUGAUCUUGUCAAAUCAUAUAUUCUUUCUGAAUAUAUUUUUCUUUUAUGAUGAUUUUGCUGAAGGAAAACUAUCUCCUUCAUUAUUUGUGCUUUUCUCCUAAAUCAUAGAAAAUUGAAUUUAAAUGCCGUAUCUAAAUGCCUCUGUCUAUGGAAUGGAUUUAUUAAAAGAUUUCUUGCAUAAUGAGGAAAAGUGAAGUACAUGUGUAUUAAAUUCUA